GCGGAGUCGGUGGACCACUGUCUUGACCACCUCACCCUCCGCUCCGCCCUCCACUUCCACGCGCCAAACAUCAUUCACGUCUCCCUCGCCGUUCUGGGGUGGAUAAUUUUAUGUGGAAAUUGGUGUAGCUUUGAAAUAGUAGGGUAGAGGUAGAGAAUCAAGGUGAGGUUCGUUUUUAGGACAGAGGUAGAGAAUCAAGGUGAGGUUCGUUUUUAGGACAGAGGUAGAGAAUCAAGGUGAGGUUCGUUUUUAGGACAGAGGUAGAGAAUCAAGGUGAGGUUCGUUUUUAGGACAGAGGUAGAGAAUCAAGGUGAGGUUCGUUUUUAGGACAGAGGUAGAGAAUCAAGGUGAGGUUCGUUUUUAGGACAGAGGUAGAGAAUCAAGGUGAGGUUCGUUUUUAGGACAGAGGUAGAGAAUCAAGGUGAGGUUCGUUUUUAGGACAGAGGGAGAGAAUCAAAGUGAGGUUCGUUUUUAGGACAGAGGAAGAGAAUCAAAGUGAGGUUCGUUUUUACUGGGGUCAAAUACACGCUGGCUCAAUGCACCCCCAGCUAACUCCACCCAGCCUAACACUAACUCCACCUAACCUAACCUGAACUCCAUCUAACCUAACGUAAACUCCACCUAACCUAACCUGACCUAAACUCCACCUAACCUAACCUGACCUAAACUCCACCUAAC